CUCACUGACCACUGCCUGCAGCUGCUGUUCCCACACCAGCACAAAGCCCACAUCCUGGACCUCAGUCACAAUGACAUCACUGAUGUGUCAGCAAAGAGGAUCUAUGAUACUUUCUCCACCAACAACAAUAUUCACACUGUGAGGUGCUAUUACAAAGCAGCUUUUCAAAUGUCCAAGUCCAAGCC